rnacentral:lncRNA from 1 species
CGUCUCCGCACGCAAAAGUAGAGCCAUAUUUGGUAGCGUUCAACCGCUGUGGCUAAUUGCAGUCGUCGACUGUCAGGUACGAGACACUGGCUGUCCAUCGAAAGGCGAGGUCAGACGCUUUGCUGUGGCCAGCGGCGUACUUCCCAGGGAGAGAGUGGCUGUGGUACAUGCCAACUGUCACGUUUUCAACGCGAGAAAGAUACCACACACGGGGAAAAGUAUGCCGCGCCCGCAGGCGAAGCAUAUCGCUUCGGAAUACUAGAAGCAAGGAUGGAGGGCAGCGUUAAGACGUGAGGUAAAAACCGGGUCAUUAGAUUCUCUCGGGGAAAGUAGAAGACCGUGUUCCGAUUGACGAAGGACGGCAAACAGGAUUCACAGCAGACAGAGUGGGAGGUCAGUCGCUGACGGGCCACCCAGCUGAGUAAGCGUUCCAGUGACGCUCCAGCGGAGCCGUGAUCACUAUGGUAGAAGAAAUGCGGUUUACGUGUAGAGUUUUAGCGAUCGAUGUUCGACACAGCGGUAGUACUGCCACUCAUGUAACUGUUUGGAGCAGGUCUAGUCUGGCCCGGUCCCCUCAAGUUCCUAGAAUUCAGAUGAACAGGUUCGCUGGGGUCUUCUGCGUCUGGACAGGGUAAAUGGAAAAAUCACGGUACACAGAUGUACAGGGGGUGCUCGAAACAACUCCCUGGUCUCCAGCCACAUCUUGUCUCUUACGUGGCAAUACACGCACAAUGAAUUACAAGUGUCGCAUUCACGUCCACUGCAUAGCCGAUAAAAUACAUACCGUGUCGUUGGGUGCAGUGAUUAUACCACCACCAGUACGUUGUGUGGAGCUUUGAUGUGGGUUACACUCGCUCACUAUUAGCUAUGUGCGAAAAGAAGCGGAACACGACAAAGCUGCUAGUUGGGGCGGUCAUCGUUCGAUCAGCGAAGUCGGUCUUGACAUUGGGAAAUCCGGAAAUCAUCCUGGGUCACCGUAAAUGUCUCGCGUGUGGAACUUACCUAUAGCGGCAGCGAUUCCAACUCAUGACUAACAAGUGGCACAACUACGUGAACUGGGAACGAG